UACGUAGGGUCCAAGCGUUGUCCGGAUUUAUUGGGCGUAAAGAGCUCGUAGGUGGCUCAGUAAGUCGGAUGUGAAAACUCGGGGCUCAACUCCGAGACGCCAUCCGAUACUGCUGUGGCUUGAGUCUGGUAGGGGAGAUCGGAAUUCCUGGUGUAGCGGUGAAAUGCGCAGAUAUCAGGAGGAACACCGGUGGCGAAGGCGAUCUCUGGGCCAGCACUGACACUGAGGAGCGAAAGCGUGGGUAGCAAACAGG
rnacentral:rRNA from 1 species